rnacentral:rRNA from 1 species
UACGGAGGGGGCGAGCGUUAUUCGGAAUUAUUGGGCGUAAAGGGCGCGUAGGCGGCUGGGCAAGUCAAAGGUGAAAUCCCUCGGCUCAACUGAGGAACUGCCUUUGAAACUGCCUGGCUUGAGGCCGGGAGGGGGUAGCAGAAUUCCCAGUGUAGCGGUGAAAUGCGUAGAUAUUGGGAGGAACACCAGUGGCGAAGGCGGCUACCUGGACCGGUUCUGACGCUGAUGCGCGAAAGCGUGGGUACGCAAACAGG